rnacentral:rRNA from 1 species
CCUACGGGUGGCAGCAGUGAGGAAUAUUGGUCAAUGGGCGCGAGCCUGAACCAGCCAAGUAGCGUGAAGGAUGACUGCCCUACGGGUUGUAAACUUCUGUUAUAAAGGAAUAAAGUGAGGCACGUGUGCCUUUGUGUAUGUACGUUAUGAAUAAGGAUCGGAUAACUCCGUGCCAGCAGCCGCGGUAAGACGGAGGAUCCGAGCGUUAUCCGGAUGUAUUGGGUUUCAAGGGAGCGUAGAGGGGUUGUUAAGUCAGUUGUGAAAGUUUGCGGCUCAACCGUAAAAUUGCAAUUGAUACUGGCAGUCUUUAGUACAGUUGUGGUAGGCGGAAUUCGUGGUGUCGCCGU